AACAGAUAUCUCGGCUCUUGCAUCGAUGAAGAACGUAGCGAAAUGUGAUACUUUGUGUGAAUUGCAGAAUCCUGUGAACCAUCGAGUCUUUGAUCGCAAGUUGCACUUGAAGCCACUAGGUCGAGGGCACGCCUGCCUGGGUGUCACACACGUCGUCAUCCCAUGCAAACAUGCAUCGGGGCGAAAGCUGGCCUCGCACGAGACACCCAUCGUGGUUGGUCGAAAACCAAGGUAACGUCGGGGUCCCCCCGCGAGAAACGGUGGAUGAGCAAACGCUCAAGACCAAUCGCGAAGACUUGGAAAUCCAAUCGAUCGGCCCUACUGCAUUCUUGGCAAAAAGCAAAGACGCUUUUGAUGAGACCUCAGGUCAAACGGGCUACCCGCUGAGUUUAAGCAUAUCAAUAAGCGAAGGAAAAGAAACUAACAAGGAUUCUCUUAGUAACGGCGAGCGAACCGAGAACAACCCACCAUGAAAAUUGGUCGCCCCUGACAUUCGAAUUGUAGUCUAGAGAAGCGUCCUCAGUGGCGAACUGGGCCCAAGUCCCCUGGAAGGGAGCGCCAGAGAGGGUGAGAACCCCGUUGUGCCCGGACCCUAUCGUAUCACGAGGCGUUGUGAGUCGGGUUGUUUGGGAAUGCAACCCCAAUAAAACGAUAAAUUCCGUCCAAGACUAAAUACUAGAGAGAGACCAAUAAUGAACGAGUACCGCGAGGAAAAGAUAAAAAAAACUUUAAAAAUAGAGUUUAUAUAUAUAUAUAUU
rnacentral:ncRNA from 1 species